rnacentral:lncRNA from 1 species
CGUAGCUUUCCAGUGCUAAUGGAAAAUGAAUUGGGAAAAUGACAUUCCCAGUUCUCAUGCACCGCACUCAGCAUCCAGAAGUGUUGUGACGAUUCGCAUAUUUUGUUGACCGUCUUGUAACCCGUGCAAGUGCCACGUAUCAAAAAGUUUUUCCGAAUUCCCUCUACGGAAAACAAUUUAAAAUCGGUGGAAAUCUCUCAGUGACGUCAGUUAGUUUUUCACUCUCGCAGUUCAAUUAUCAGCAUACACGCUUCGAGAUCCAGACGGUGUUGAAAAAAUGUCACUCGGUCGCAUGCUGUUAUCACGCGAACAGGUUUAUUUUAUCAUUGAUUUUUGAUCGAUUUUAAAAGAAUCGAUUGGAAGUGAUCGCUAUUUGGUGAGAAGAGUGUAACGCGGCAAAUGGUAAAGAUAACAUGGCUACUUCUCGCGGCGAUUGCUUGGCAAAUGCCUUGGUUCUGCUUAUCGAUGAGGUCAUUUAAUUCAUGGGUAUCAUCAAACAGUCGACGACGGUCGCCCUCUCGGGCAAAUGUAAAUCCGAGCCCCUCUAGCUCUGGGUCUGGGUCUGGGUACUUCAGAAGGAUAUUCUCAGGCCUCUCUCGGACAGAGAGUCAAAUGAUGCAAGCUCAAACCCAGCCGAAUGUGCCAUACACGUUACCACUACUACCAUUCAACUGGAGGAAAAUCAAUAAAAUCAAAAUAACUGGCGGUGACGUCAUCGUUUGCGGAAGGAACCAGGCUAUCCCUACCUUCAAGACCCACUGGUUAUUGGCCGUGAACGGGUACGAGCUGGUGCACGCCAUCAAGAACCAAAUUUACAUAAAUACCGGUCAAAUAACCAUUGACAAUAAGCUUACUUUACCGGGAAAGUACACCUACAUUGAUUGCAAUAAUUGUAAAAACCUCGGCAACAGAGGUAUCUCCGGUGAAGAGCUCGCUGCUGUCACGGAGAGGGCGUUCAAAUGGCUCUUUAAAUACACGUUCUUCGACUCUGACUCCUGCUCAAGUUACCACUGGGUCAUGUACUGGGUGUCAGGGAGUCCUCCAACCCCACGGCGGUCCCUUCUGCCGGGCUUUAGCUCGUCCAUGCAUCGUUACUGCCGGCUCAACACCAUCCUCACCGACCCGGAACCCAGGGAAAUGACCCUAGACCAGAUAAAUUUCGCCUUGGUCGGAACUAUGGAUGCUUUUAAUCUCGGCUGGGGCCCGGACACUCAAGGUCCUUGAUCUAGACUCGUUUCAAUCAACGGAAUUUAAUGUGAUGGAGAUAAUAACGGAAGUAAAACGGCAACUCAAACUUCAAUACUAGCAAAUAAUGUGUAAUUAAAAAAAAAAAAUAAACAGCAAUGACAUGAAAGUAGUAAAGUGCACAUCCAACAUGUCAGUUAUUCGGCACCCUUUUCCAACAUCCUCAUGUUGGAUCUGUCAUCUUAUUUUUCUUCAUUUAAAAAAAAAAAAUAAAAAAUAAUGAAAUAAGUCACACUGUCAUCAAGAGAUCAAUUCAUAAAAUAACAAGUCGUACUUAGUUAUCUUUGUAAUUUUCCUCCCUUUGGUAAUUUUAGUUUUUAUUAGUUCAACUGUUUUUAUUAGUUCAACUUAGUUGUAGAAGUUCAACUGUGAUCAGCAUGUAUAAAAUAUCUAAGAUGAAAUUUGUUGGUUGGACUUUACAUCACAACAUAGACCCUUCAAUUUUGAAGAUACCACAAGGACAUCCAACAAGCACGAAUAGUUGCAUGAACCUGGCGUUAUGAAGGGGCGUUGUUUACCUAGGUACUUUAAAU